AUUGAACGCUGGCGGCAUGCCUUACACAUGCAAGUCGAACGGUAACGCGGGGCAACCUGGCGACGAGUGGCGAACGGGUGAGUAAAGCAUCGGAACGUGCCCAGUAGUGGGGGAUAGCCCGGCGAAAGCCGGAUUAAUACCGCAUACGACCUAAGGGUGAAAGGGGGGGAUCGCAAGACCUCUCGCUAUUGGAGCGGCCGAUGUCAGAUUAGCUAGUUGGUGGGGUAAAAGCUCACCAAGGCGACGAUCUGUAGCUGGUCGGAGAGGACGACCAGCCACACUGGGACUGAGACACGGACCAGACUCCUACGGGAGGCAGCAGUGGGGAAUUUUGGAUAAUGGACGAAAGUCUGAUCCAGCCAUGCCGCGUGCGGGAAGAAGGCCUUCGGGUUGUAAACCGCUUUUGUCAGGGAAGAAAUCCUUUGAGCUAAUACCUCGGGGGGAUGACGGUACCUGAAGAAUAAGCACCGGCUAACUACGUGCCAGCCGCCGCCGUAA
rnacentral:rRNA from 1 species